UACGAGGGGGGCAAAUGUUGUUCGGAAUCACUGGGCGUAAAGGGAGCGUAGGCGGGUUUCUAAGUAAGGUGUUUAAUCCCGGGGCCCAACCCCGGACAGGCAUUUAAACUGGAAAUCUUGAAUAGUGGAGAGGUCAGUGGAAUUGGGGGUGUAGCGGUGGAAUGCGUAGAGAUCCCCAAGAACACCAGUUGCGAAGGCGGCUGACUGGACACAUAUUGACGCUGAGGCUCGAAAGCAUGGGGAGCAAACAGG
rnacentral:rRNA from 1 species